UACGAAGGGGGCUAGCGUUGCUCGGAAUCACUGGGCGUAAAGCGCACGUAGGCGGAUCGUUAAGUCAGGGGUGAAAUCCUGGAGCUCAACUCCAGAACUGCCUUUGAUACUGGCGACCUUGAGUUCGGGAGAGGUGAGUGGAACUGCGAGUGUAGAGGUGAAAUUCGUAGAUAUUCGCAAGAACACCAGUGGCGAAGGCGGCUCACUGGCCCGAGUACCUGAACGCUGAGGCACGAAAGCGUGGGGAGCCAAAC
rnacentral:rRNA from 1 species